UUUGUGACUGUAACAACAAAUG
rnacentral:miRNA from 1 species